GACGAACGCUGGCGGCGUGCUUAACACAUGCAAGUCGAACGGAAAGGCCCUGCUUUUGUGGGGUGCUCGAGUGGCGAACGGGUGAGUAACACGUGAGUAACCUGCCCUUGACUUUGGGAUAACUUCAGGAAACUGGGGCUAAUACCGGAUAGGAGCUCCUGCUGCAUGGUGGGGGUUGGAAAGUUUCGGCGGUUGGGGAUGGACUCGCGGCUUAUCAGCUUGCUGGUGGGGUAGUGGCUUACCAAGGCUUUGACGGGUAGCCGGCCUGAGAGGGUGAACGGCCACAUUGGGACUGAGAUACGGCCCAGACUCCUACGGGAGGCAGCAGGGGGGAAUAUUGCACAAUGGGCGGAAGCCUGAUGCAGCAACGCCGCGUGCGGGAUGACGGCCUUCGGGUUGUAAACCGCUUUCGCCUGUGACGAAGCGUGAGUGACGGUAAUGGGUAAAGAAGCACCGGCUAACUACGUG
rnacentral:rRNA from 1 species